rnacentral:rRNA from 1 species
GUUAUAGGGUCAAGCGAACAAGUGCAUGUGGUGGAUGCCUUGGCGAUCACAGGCGAUGAAGGACGCGGUAGCCUGCGAAAAGCUACGGGGAGCUGGCAAACGAGCUUUGAUCCGUAGAUGUCCGAAUGGGGAAACCCACUCCUUAUGGAGUAUCCAUGGCUGAAUACAUAGGCCAUGCGAAGCGAACGCGGUGAACUGAAACNACGGGGAGCUGGCAAACGAGCUUUGAUCCGUAGAUGUCCGAAUGGGGAAACCCACUCCGUAUGGAGUAUCCAUGGCUGAAUACAUAGGCCAUGCGAAGCGAACGCGGUGAACUGAAACAUCUAAGUAACCGCAGGAAAAGAAAUCAACCGAGAUUCCCAAAGUAGUGGCGAGCGAAAUGGGAUGAGCCUUGUACUCUUUAUUUGUAUUGUUAGCCGAACGCUCUGGAAAGUGCGGCCAUAGCAGGUGAUAGCCCUGUAGGCGAAAACAGUAUGAAAGAACUAGGUGUACGACAAGUAGGGCGGGACACGUGAAAUCCUGUCUGAAGAUGGGGGGACCAUCCUCCAAGGCUAAAUACUCGUGAUCGACCGAUAGUGAACCAGUACCGUGAGGGAAAGGCGAAAAGAACCCCGGGAGGGGAGUGAAAUAGAUCCUGAAACCGCAUGCAUACAAACAGUCGGAGCCUCGUAAGGGGUGACGGCGUACCUUUUGUAUAAUGGGUCAGCGACUUACGUUCAGUAGCAAGCUUAACCGUAUAGGGCAGGCGUAGCGAAAGCGAGUCCGAAUAGGGCGUUCAGUUGCUGGGCGUAGACCCGAAACCAGGUGAUCUAUCCAUGGCCAGGAUGAAGGUGCGGUAACACGUACUGGAGGUCCGAACCCACUAACGUUGAAAAGUUAGGGGAUGAGCUGUGGAUAGGGGUGAAAGGCUAAACAAACCUGGAAAUAGCUGGUUCUCUCCGAAAACUAUUUAGGUAGUGCCUCGUGUCUCACCUUCGGGGGUAGAGCACUGUCAUGGUUGGGGGGUCUAUUGCAGAUUACCCCGCCAUAGCAAACUCCGAAUACCGAAGAGUGCAAUCACGGGAGACAGACAUCGGGUGCUAACGUCCGGUGUCAAGAGGGAAACAACCCAGACCGCCAGCUAAGGUCCCCAAAUAUGGCUAAGUGGGAAACGAAGUGGGAAGGCUAAAACAGUCAGGAGGUUGGCUUAGAAGCAGCCACCCUUUAAAGAAAGCGUAAUAGCUCACUGAUCGAGUCGUCCUGCGCGGAAGAUGUAACGGGGCUAAGCCAUAUACCGAAGCUGCGGAUGCGAGCUAGUCUCGCAUGGUAGGAGAGCGUUCCGUAAGCCUGCGAAGGUGCCUUGUAAAGGGUGCUGGAGGUAUCGGAAGUGCGAAUGCUGACAUGAGUAGCGAUAAAGGGGGUGAAAGGCCCCCUCGCCGUAAGCCCAAGGUUUCCUACGCAACGUUCAUCGGCGUAGGGUGAGUCGGCCCCUAAGGCGAGGCAGAAAUGCGUAGCUGAUGGGAAGCAGGUCAAUAUUCCUGCACCGUCGUUAGAUGCGAUGGGGGGACGGAUCGCGGAAGGUUGUCCGGGUGUUGGAAGUCCCGGUCGCUGCAUUGGAGAAGGCGCUUAGGCAAAUCCGGGCGCAGGAUUCAAGGGUGUGGCGCGAGCGACUUAGGUCGCGAAGCAAUUGGAAGUGGUUCCAAGAAAAGCCUCUAAGCUUCAGUCUAACGAUGACCGUACCGCAAACCGACACAGGUGGGCGAGAUGAGUAUUCUAAGGCGCUUGAGAGAACUCGGGAGAAGGAACUCGGCAAAUUGGUACCGUAACUUCGGGAUAAGGUACGCCCUUGUAGCUUGACUGGCCUGCGCCAGGAGGGUGAAGGGGUUGCAAUAAACUGGUGGCUGCGACUGUUUAAUAAAAACACAGCACUCUGCAAACACGAAAGUGGACGUAUAGGGUGUGACGCCUGCCCGGUGCCGGAAGAUUAAAUGAUGGGGUGCAAGCUCUUGAUUGAAGUCCCGGUAAACGGCGGCCGUAACUAUAACGGUCCUAAGGUAGCGAAAUUCCUUGUCGGGUAAGUUCCGACCUGCACGAAUGGCGUAACGAUGGCCACACUGUCUCCUCCCGAGACUCAGCGAAGUUGAAGUGUUUGUGAUGAUGCAAUCUACCCGCGGCUAGACGGAAAGACCCCAUGAACCUUUACUGUAGCUUUGCAUUGGACUUUGAACCGAUCUGUGUAGGAUAGGUGGGAGGCUAUGAAACCGGAACGCCAGUUUCGGUGGAGCCGUCCUUGAAAUACCACCCUGGUUUGUUUGAGGUUCUAACCUUGGCCCGUGAUCCGGGUCGGGGACAGUGCAUGGUAGGCAGUUUGACUGG